rnacentral:rRNA from 1 species
AUUGAACGCUGGCGGCAGGCCUAACACAUGCAAGUCGAGCGGAUGAAGGGAGCUUGCUCCUGGAUUCAGCGGCGGACGGGUGAGUAAUGCCUAGGAAUCUGCCUGGUAGUGGGGGAUAACGUCCGGAAACGGGCGCUAAUACCGCAUACGUCCUGAGGGAGAAAGUGGGGGAUCUUCGGACCUCACGCUAUCAGAUGAGCCUAGGUCGGAUUAGCUAGUUGGUGGGGUAAAGGCCUACCAAGGCGACGAUCCGUAACUGGUCUGAGAGGAUGAUCAGUCACACUGGAACUGAGCCACGGUCCAGACUCCUACGGGAGGCAGCAGUGGGGAAUAUUGGACAAUAGGCGAAAGCCUGAUCCAGCCAUGCCGCGUGUGUGAAGGAGGUCUUCGGAUUGUAAAGCACUUUAAGUUGGGAGGAAGGGCAGUAAGUUAAUACCUUGCUGUUUUGACGUUACCAACAGAAUAAGCACCGGCUAACUUCGUG